UACGAAGGGGGCUAGCGUUGCUCGGAAUUACUGGGCGUAAAGGGAGCGUAGGCGGAUUGUUUAGUCAGAGGUGAAAGCCCAGGGCUCAACCCUGGAAUUGCCUUUGAUACUGGCUAUCUUGAGUGUGGGAGAGGUUAGCGGAACUCCGAGUGUAGAGGUGAAAUUCGUAGAUAUUCGGAAGAACACCAGUGGCGAAGGCGGCUAACUGGCCCAUUACUGACGCUGAGGCUCGAAAGCUAGGGGAGCGAACAGG
rnacentral:rRNA from 1 species